rnacentral:rRNA from 1 species
AGGCAGCAGUGAGGAAUAUUGGUCAAUGGGCGCAGGCCUGAACCAGCCAAGUCGCGUGAGGGAGGACGGUCCUACGGAUUCUAAACCUCUUUUGUCGGGGAGUAACGUGCGGGACGGGUCCCGUAUUGAGAGUACCCGAAGAAAAAGCAUCGGCUAACUCC